rnacentral:rRNA from 1 species
GUACACUCCUACGGGAGGCAGCAGUGGGGAAUAUUGGACAAUGGGCGCAAGCCUGAUCCAGCCAUGCCGCGUGAGUGAUGAAGGCCCUAGGGUUGUAAAGCUCUUUCACCGGUGAAGAUAAUGACGGUAACCGGAGAAGAAGCCCCGGCUAACUUCGUGCCAGCAGCCGCGGUAAUACGAAGGGGGCUAGCGUUGUUCGGAUUUACUGGGCGUAAAGCGCACGUAGGCGGACUAUUAAGUCAGGGGUGAAAUCCCGGGGCUCAACCCCGGAACUGCCUUUGAUACUGGUAGUCUUGAGUUCGAGAGAGGUGAGUGGAAUUCCGAGUGUAGAGGUGAAAUUCGUAGAUAUUCGGAGGAACACCAGUGGCGAAGGCGGCUCACUGGCUCGAUACUGACGCUGAGGUGCGAAAGCGUGGGGAGCAAACAGGAUUAGAAACCCGAGUAGUCCCAU